CCUACUGGUGGCAGCAGUGAGGACUAUUGGUCAAUGGACGAGAGUCUGAACCAGCCAAGUAGCGUGCAGGAUGACUGCCCUAUAGGUUGUACACUUCUUUUAUACAAGCGUAAAACGAGGUGCGUGUGCCUUUUUGCAUGUACUUUAUGAAUAAGGAUCGGCUCACUCCGUGCCAGCAGCCGCGGUAAUACGGAGGAUCCAAGCGUUAUCCGGAUUUAUUGGGUUUAAAGGGAGAGUAGAUGGUUGGUUAAGUUAGUUGUGAAAGUUUGCGGCUCAACUGUAAAAUUGCAUUUGAUACUGGCAGUCGUGAGUACAGUUGAGGUAGGCGGAAUGCGUGGUGUAGCGGUGAAAUGCUUAGAUAUCACGAAGAACCCCGAUUGCGAAGGCAGCUUACUAAGCUGGGACUGACAUUGAUGCUCGAAAGUGUGGGUAUCAAACAGGAUGAGAUACCCCAGUAGUC
rnacentral:rRNA from 1 species